rnacentral:lncRNA from 1 species
GGAAAUUCCCGUCCGAGCCCCGGGGAUUAGCCGGGGGCUACUCUGGAACCGAAGCGCACAAAGCCUCAAUAGUCUGCACGGCCCGUGUCCAGCCUGGCACUGAACUCCCACUUUUUCAGGGCAAUGACCACAUACUCAUCCAAGCUGGUAUUAUGCCUAGCACAAUGGGGCUCCUUGCUUGCUGGCUGUCCGCUAAUAUGAUUAUAAACCAGAGCAAUCACCACCAACAUCAGGAACUGUGGAAGAGACCAUUGGCUAGACUAGGAAGAAGUACACAGAACCAUAAGAAAAGAAAUGGCCAAAACACAUCACAAAGGCUGCUAUCAUAUCAGAAAGUGGAAAAACUGAGGAACUGGGAUAAAUUACCACUGUCUGAGAAAGAAGAAAAUUGCAGUUACUUUGCAUGGAACGUACAGUCCCGACCGACCGAAGCCCACAGCCUCACCUUACACACAGUCCCCCUAUUCUGCCUCCAUCCUGAUCAGGAUGAUUACUUUCUGAGUGACAGGCCCGUUUACUGUCAGUGCCCCAUCUGAUCUUCAGCCUCUCAGAUGACAAUGCCAGCAGGAAUGUUCUCCUCAGUGUCAAUUUUAGUGACUGUUACAAACAUGUAAAUUUCUGCCACAAUAUACCUGACAAUGAAUGUAAUUCAUUUCACACAGAUAAUCAACUCCCAUCAAAAAAAAACUACUCCCUGUUACCCCAGUGCAUGUGUGGAGGGGUGGUUGGUAGAAAUCGAGUCUCCUCUGAACAGGCAACCUGAGUUUUAUAGCCUAACAUAAGCUUCUG